rnacentral:rRNA from 1 species
GGCGCGAGCAGGUGCGAAAGCAGGUCAUAGUGAUCCGGUGGUUCUGAAUGGAAGGGCCAUCGCUCAACGGAUAAAAGGUACUCCGGGGAUAACAGGCUGAUACCGCCCAAGAGUUCAUAUCGACGGCGGUGUUUGGCACCUCGAUGUCGGCUCAUCACAUCCUGGGGCUGAAGUAGGUCCCAAGGGUAUGGCUGUUCGCCAUUUAAAGUGGUACGCGAGCUGGGUUUAGAACGUCGUGAGACAGUUCGGUCCCUAUCUGCCGUGGGCGCUGGAGAACUGAGGGGGGCUGCUCCUAGUACGAGAGGACCGGAGUGGACGCAUCACUGGUGUUCGGGUUGUCAUGCCAAUGGCACUGCCCGGUAGCUAAAUGCGGAAGAGAUAAGUGCUGAAAGCAUCUAAGCACGAAACUUGCCCCGAGAUGAGUUCUCCCUGACUCCUUGAGAGUCCUGAAGGAACGUUGAAG